UGAGUAACCUGCCCUCAGCUUUGGGAUAACCCUCGGAAACGGGGGCUAAUACCGGAUAUGACGCGUCACGGCAUCGUGGUGUGUGGAAAAUGUUUGCGGCUGGGGAUGGGCUCGCGGCCUAUCAGCUUGUUGGUGGGGUGAUGGCCUACCAAGGCGGCGACGGGUAGCCGGCCUGAGAGGGCGACCGGCCACACUGGGACUGAGACACGGCCCAGACUCCUACGGGAGGCA
rnacentral:rRNA from 1 species